UGCCAACAUAAUGGCCAGAACUCUAGAAUCUAUCUCAUAGAAAGACAGAACAUAAGAAUAACAGACUGACAUUCAGAAAAAUCCCUGAAAACCCCAGAUUAGCUCUGGACUGUUUACUACUUUUGUGGGGGAAUGCAGGAGACUGAACAUACAGCUUCCCACACACUCCACCACUGAGCUACAAACCAGACAGAGGAAAGUAAACUACUUCUAGCAAAUCACGUAUCAACUACAACUGUGAUUCACUUAGUUUUUCUACCUGCAGGUAAACAGAAAAGGCCACAUGAUGCACCAGGAAACCUAAGUAGGGAUUCUGGCUGAGUAUCAAAAAAGGAACUGGAUAAAUAAAAGAAAGAAAUUUAAGCAGUGUUCUGGAAGACACAGGUGGGAAUAAAAGAUGCUGCCUUGCAACUACCUCAAACUCCUGGGCUCAAGGAAACUUCCGGCCUCAGUCUCUACAGG